UCCAGAGGAGACUGAUGAGGACGAGGAAGUCAUCUACAAAAUCGAAUUUCCGGCGAACAGAUACGACUUGCUUUGCCUCGAAGGGCUUGCUCAGGCCCUACGUGUAUUCAAUAAGCAGGAGGAGACACCUCAAUACAGUCUUCAUAACAUCAGCAGGGGAUCAAUGCUUAAGAUGCAUGUAAAACCAGAGACCUCACAAAUCCGUCCAUACGUUGUUUCUGCUGUCUUAAGAGGGAUAACAUUUGAUGAAGCCAGUUAUAACAGCUUCAUUGAUCUUCAAGACAAGCUCCAUCGGAACAUUUGCCGGCGAAGAACACUGGUUGCAAUUGGGACUCAUGACUUGGAUACGCUAGAAGGCCCCUUUAGCUAUGAGGUGUGUG